GAAUAAAAAACAGGAAAAAGAAAAACAAAUAAAUGUAUAAGUCCUCCAUAUGUGUGCACUGUUUUCCAAAAAAGUAGAUGCCAGCUGUCUGAUUUUGCAGCACAGCAGGGUUUUUUAUUUUAUUCAUCAUGCCCAUCAUCACUAUUUGUUUUUUGGUUGUUGGUAUAAACGAGAAUUCAAGAGAGGAUGCGGCGGAAAAAUAA
rnacentral:ribozyme from 1 species